rnacentral:rRNA from 1 species
CAUGGCUCAGGAUGAACGCUGACAGAAUGCUUAACACAUGCAAGUCGAUGGGGAAGCGGCGCUUGCGCCGUGGCAACCAUGGCGGACGGGUGAGUAGCGCGUAAAGAACUUGCCGGAUGGACCGGGAUAACAGCUGGAAACGGCUGGCAAGACCGGAUACUAUGGGCUGGCCGCAUGGCUGGCCCAUGAAAAGGGAUGCCGUCCGAGAGCUUUGCGUCCUAUUAGCUGGUUGGUAAGGUGACGGCUUACCAAGGCGAUGAUAGGUAGCCGGCCUGAGAGGGUGGACGGCCACAAGGGGACUGAGAUACGGCCCUUACUCCUACGG